rnacentral:snoRNA from 1 species
CCCAGUUGCAAGCAACUUUCUAGGUUGAUUGUACCUAGGCAAGUGUUACACUGUUGGGAAGAAAGCAGCUAACAGCUGGUAGGCAUUCUGGACCUGCUUAAUGU